rnacentral:rRNA from 1 species
UGAGCAAUCUGCCCUUCACAUCGGAAUAACCAUUGGAAACGAUGGCUAAUACCGAAUAUGACUUCGGAUCGCAUGAUCUGAAGUGGGAAGCUCCGGCGGUGAAGGAUGAGCUCGCGGCCUAUCAGCUUGUUGGUGAGGUAAUAGCUCACCAAGGCGAUGACGGGUAGCCGGCCUGAGAGGGUGACCGGCCACACUGGGACUGAGACACGGCCCAGACUCCG